AACGAACGCUGGCGGCAUGCCUAACACAUGCAAGUCGAACGAGACCUUCGGGGCUAGUGGCGCACGGGUGCGUAACGCGUGGGAACCUGCCCUUAGGUUCGGAAUAACUCCCCGAAAGGGGUGCUAAUACCGGAUAAUGUCUUCGGACCAAAGAUUUAUCGCCUUAGGAUGGGCCCGCGUUGGAUUAGCUAGUUGGUAGGGUAAAAGCCUACCAAGGCGACGAUCCAUAGCUGGUCUGAGAGGAUGAUCAGCCACACUGGGACUGAGACACGGCCCAGACUCCUACGGGAGGCAGCAGUGGGGAAUAUUGGACAAUGGGCGAAAGCCUGAUCCAGCAAUGCCGCGUGAGUGAUGAAGGCCUUAGGGUUGUAAAGCUCUUUUACCCGGGAUGAUAAUGACGGUACCGGGAGAAUAAGCUCCGGCUAACUCCGUG
rnacentral:rRNA from 1 species